CUACGGGCCGCUCCAGUGGGGAAUAUUGGACAAUGGGCGCAAGCCUGAUCCAGCAAUACCGCGUGUGUGAAGAAGGCCUGCGGGUUGUAAAGCACUUUCAAUGGUGAAGAAAAGCGAGGGCUUAAUACGCUCUUGUCUUGACGUUAACUUUAGAAGAAGCACCGGCUAACUCUGUGCCAGCAGCCGCGGUAAUACAGAGGGUGCGAGCGUUAAUCGGAAUUACUGGGCGUAAAGCGUACGUAGGCGGUUUAGUAAGUCAGAUGUGAAAGCCCUGGGCUCAACCUGGGAACUGCAUUUGAAACUGGUAGGCUAGAGUGUGGUAGAGGGAAGUGGAAUUCCGGGUGUAGCGGUGAAAUGCGUAGAUAUCCGGAGGAACACCAGUGGCGAAGGCGACUUCCUGGACCAACACUGACGCUGAGGUACGAAAGCGUGGGUAGCAAACAGGAUUAGAUACCCGCGUAGUC
rnacentral:rRNA from 1 species